UCCCUGAUGGUCCACUGGUUAAGACUUGUGCUCCCAAUGCAGGGGGCCCGGGUUCGAUCCCCGGUCAGGGAA